GCGUUGAAGCCGCCGCCCCCUCCCCUUCUCUCGCGUUGAAGCCACUGCCCUACCCCUUCUCGUCGCGCCGCCGCCCCCUCCCCCUCCCCCUUCUCUCCUCGCGCCGCUGCCCCCUACCCCUCGCGCCGCUGCCCUCAGAGAAGCACCGCUGCGGCUGCUGCUCCUUGUCGCCGCUCCUCACCCACCCACCGCGGCCGCCUCCUCCCUCGGAACCCUAGCCAACCGCACGCAACCCAUGGCGUCGCCCAGCUCGCCGCCCUCGGUCAUCGCGUCGUCGCGGGGCUCCUCGCGCAAGUGCUGGCCUCUGCCAAGGCCACACCCGAGGCCGACCAGGAGGCCACGGUCUCCAAGCGCUCCCGCAAGAGCACCACGUCCGGGAAGAAGAAGCGCCCAAGGCGGCGGCGGGAAGGAGCCGCAGAAUUGGUGAUAGUCUCCCUGCUUCACCCACUGCUAGAUGUACCAGCAGCAGAAGCAAACCUCCCCUCCGCUCAUUGUUGGUGGUUUAGACUCGGGUUGUCGAUGUAGAUCGAUCCAGGGCCCCCCUCUUCAGUUAUUUUGCUUGGUGGUAUGUGGAUCUUCUCGUGCACUGAUAUACCUGAGGUUGAUCGGAAGUAUGGGGAUCGCCCUAUUGAUGCAGUAGACCUUCGAAGCGAAGCAGAAUUCGACAAGGCUGAAAAAGCUAGGGAGAAGUUGGUACUUGUUCUCCAGGACACAUGCUUGAACUAUCGAGCUAUCGAUCUGCGGACACCUGCAAAUCAAGCAAUCUUCUGCAUCCAAUGCCAUGUUGAGAACAAAUUCAGGGAAUCUUUGUUCUUCGGAGAAUUUUAUCGGGAUCCAGCACAGUCCAAAGUUGAUUGGUGGUCCAGGUGGAAGGUGGUGCAUCUGUAUUCAAUCUGGAGUAUAAUGGCCAGCCUGCUUGUUUAGCACAAUCUCCCCAAUUAUACAAGAAGAUGAGCAUCUGUGGUGGCUUUGGCCGCGUGCUUGAGGUUGGUCCUGUAUUUAGAGCAGAAAAACACUCACAGGCAGCUGUGUGAGUUUAUUGGGUUGGAUGCAGAGAUGGAGAUCAAGGAGCACUACUUUGAGUUUCUGCAGGGAGAACAUGAUAAGAGACGCACAUCUGAAAAGAUUGCUGAUGAUCAGUUAUUUGCUUCUGCGCCAUUUGACAGGCCAAGCAAUGGGCUUCGGAAUAUGGAACAACCAAAAAAAUACCCAAAUAUGUCAACACUCGUGUUACAGAGGUGUUCCCAGUUAAAAAAUCCAGAAACAUUGGAGAGGAAAACUAUAAGCUCGCCUGACUCCUCUACCCAGCAAGAGAAGAUGAAGGAGAAAUUGUGCAGCCUCCAUCCCUGUCCAACGUGUUGUGCGUUGCAGGAGGAGCGAGCGGACGCCGGAGACUGGCAACAAGCCGAGGUUGGAGCGGUGAUGGUGGCUGCAGCGGGAAAAACCGCGCCGGCAACAAGCACAAUUCCUCAUCUCUGUCUCCAACGAAAAGGAUCAUCUGGGCCCUAUGCUACUAUUGCUUGAGUGAGAGUAGUGCCAGUGCUUCACAAGUGAGAGCUCGGUGUCGUAUCCGCUGGCUGAGUGGCAAGCUGGAGCUGCAGGUCGCUGAACAUGGUGGUCCUACUGUGAGGAUCUCGUGUAUCAUUCUGUGUGUGUAUCUCUCAGUCCCGUUCCCCUUUAUGGUCAUCAUUCAUGCCUGUAGGGAUCACUAAGAUUUUUCUUGGUUUUGUUGUUGUCGAUUGCUGUGAUUGUUACUGCAAUAGUGGAUCAUAUAUAUACACUUGGCAACUCAGUUUAGGAUAUCGCUUGGUGGCCAGAAGGAGGCGAGCGACAGCCCCACCGUUGAACCACUCGUUGAUGACGCCGGCGGCGACGACCGGAUCCUGGGCGUCCCCUCCCCUUCCCGCCAGAUCCGUCAAGGUCCAGUGGACGGCAGGGACCAUCUCCGGUAGCCGAUGACGGAGCCGCCACCCUCCCGAGGCUCCCUUUGUCUAUAUAAUGACUCUGACAUUGUGUGUCUAUGAUGUGAUGACUUAUCCUGUUGGUUUACUUUUGCCAAAAAUGCUACUUUGCUUUUUGUAUGAUUGAUUGCGUUGCCCUUUGGCAUUGCUUGGAGGGAUGUUAUGUAUUGGGCACAAAUUAUGUUAUAUAUAAAGGCAAUGCUGUACUUUUGAUGUAAUUUCAAUACAUUUAACUGAUCCACUACUGUCGCAACAAUAGAUAUGUUGUUUAUACGUCCGGGCAAUGUGUUGAGCCAUACGUCUGACAAAGGUAUGCAUUCCUCCAUGUACCACUUACCUCUCCUGCGAUGCUUUCCGUGCUUUGUAUUUCAAGUAUUGGAUAAAGGGCAGUGCUUACUUAGGCCAUUUUGAUCGCGAUAUGCUGUGUCUCGCUCCUAUCACAAUUGAAUAUUUCUUCUUUGAUGUAUUAUUGUCAUACAUGAAUACACAUGAUAAACCUGGACAUUUGGAUUGUUACUAAGUAUUCCUUUCUUGACCAUAACGUUUGGACCGGCACCCUCACGCUAGAGUGCGAUACCGAUCUAGUCAUAUAUUCGGUGCGGCAGUCCAGCUUGCCAUGCCUGCCUGCUGCCGUUCUGGGCUGGCGGUCCUGGUGAACAUUUCCUUGUUUCCAGGCACUUCAUUCACGGCCAUGGGGCAUUUGGUAUGACAUCAUUUAUUGAGAAAAUUUUAGAGAAUGAGCCUUCUAUUAAUGUGAAGACUCAGAUGCUCUUUGGCCACCUAGAGUCAGUCAAUCAUCUGGAUUGUUCUUCAUUAACAUGCCGCUGGCAGAUCCACCAUUCCAGCCAUAUACUCCCUCCAUUUUUAUAUACAAGGCCACAAACCAAUAUUACAGGUACGAUCAAAUGAGUGUUAAGUAUCAGAACAGUAAUUCUGAAAGAUGACUCGGUUACUGCAAAUGUCAAUACAUCUCAGUUCAACUGUUCUUCAGUCACCUACAUAGUUUACAUAGGUAAAGUCAAAUGUAUAUUAAGUCUGCUCUGAGCUAGAAUCCUGCCACCAUUUAUUUUUUGGGUGUGUAGUUUCUUUAGAAUUGUGGAGAACUAUCAUGCAGCUGACUGGUUUUAGAGGGGAUAUCAGUAUGUUGUCCUCCUCUGAAUGCUGGUCUAGGGGUGAUAGUUUUGCUGCUAUUAAUAUUAUUCAUGCAGCUGGUCUUUGGACUAUCUGGAAUUUAAGGAAUGACAUGGUUUUCAACCACACUCCUUGGCCUGGUCUACAGGUUUUUUGGUGCAGGACGGCAGCAAGUCUUUCUCUAUGGGAGCGGCUGUCCUCCGACUGUGUGAAAUCCCAACUGCAAAACAUGGCGCAAAAGCUGGAAAAGAAGACAAGGGAGCCGCCGCUACUGAUGUGGCCAGACCCAGGCUGAUUGAGUCUUGGGGGCAAUGCGACGAUGCUCAUUCCCCGAGUAAUGCAGUUUGUGCAAGUGUCCCUGGAGCUGCGGUUAUGUAAUAUGUGUGUGGGAGCUCUGAUAGUUUCAGAUUUGUGUCUGUGCUGCUAGAGUCGCUGCAUUACUCGAGUUUACCUCUGUUUGUUUCAGUUUCUUUUGUUAUGUCCUACUAGUUUUAUUUAGUCCUUGCUGAGGUAGCGGUGGGGCUGUCCUCCGCGCGCUGAAUUGGUGUAUGUGAGACAAUUUGGUUUCUUUGCUA